GCCGAUGUGGUGAAAUUGGUAUACACGCUGCUUUGAGGGAGCAGUAGCUUAUAGCUUUAUCGGUUCAAAUCCGAUCAUCGGCA
rnacentral:tRNA from 1 species